rnacentral:rRNA from 1 species
AGUGAACGCUGGCGGCGUGGCUUAGGCAUGCAAGUCGAGCGCGAAAGUACCUUCGGGUAUGAGUAGAGCGGCGUAAGGGUGAGUAAUGUAUAGGCAACGGUACCCCUUGGACCGGGAUAGCUGCGGGAAACUGCAGGUAAUACCGGAUGGUCAAGCGAUGUGGCAUCACGAUGCUUGUAAACGGUUGGAUACUUCUGCCGAGGGAGCGGCCUAUGCCCUAUUAGCUAGUUGGUGAGGUAAUGGCUCACCAAGGCAACGAUGGGUAGCCGGACUGAGAGGUUGGCCGGUCACACUGGGACUGAGACACUGCCCAGACUCCUACGGGAGGCUGCAGUCGAGAAUCUUCCGCAAUGGACGCAAGUCUGACGGGGCGACGCCGCGUGUAGGA